AUUCUUACCUGGCAGGGGAGAUACAAUGAUCACAAAGGUGGUUCUCCCAGGGUGAGGCUCAUUCCUUGCACUCUGGGUGUGCUGACCCCUGCGUUUUCCCCAAAUGUGGGAACCUCGACUGCGUAAUCUGUGGUAAUGGUAAUUUCCCC
rnacentral:snRNA from 1 species